CCGGCACGGGUGAGUAACACGUAUGCAAUCCACCUGUAACAGGGGGAUAACCCGGAGAAAUCCGGACUAAUACCCCAUAAUAUGGGCGCUCCGCAUGGAGAGCCCAUUAAAGAGAGCAAUUUUGGUUACAGACGAGCAUGCGCUCCAUUAGCCAGUUGGCGGGUAACGGCCCACCAAAGCGACGAUGGAUAGGGGUUCUGAGAGGAAGGCCCCCCACAUUGGAACUGAGACACGGUCCAA
rnacentral:rRNA from 1 species